rnacentral:rRNA from 1 species
UACGUAGGGUGCGAGCGUUAAUCGGAAUUACUGGGCGUAAAGCGUGCGCAGGCGGUUUGUUAAGCCAGAUGUGAAAGCCCCGGGCUUAACCUGGGAACUGCGUUUGAAACUACAAGGCUAGAGUGUGGCAGAGGGGGGUGGAAUUCCACGUGUAGCAGUGAAAUGCGUAGAGAUGUGGAGGAACACCGAUGGCGAAGGCAGCCCCCUGGGUUAACACUGACGCUCAGGCACGAAAGCGUGGGGAGCAAACAGG